rnacentral:rRNA from 1 species
AACUAUAACGGUCCUAAGGUAGCGAAAUUCCUUGUCGGGUAAGUUCCGACCCGCACGAAUGGUGUAACGAUCUGGGCACUGUCUCAACUACCCACCCGGCGAAAUUGUAGUACCGGUGAAGAUGCCGGUUACCUGCGGCAAGACGGAAAGACCCCAUGGAGCUUUACUGUAGCCUGAUAUUGGGUUUCGGAAAUCUAUGUACAGGAUAGGCGGGAGACUGGGAAACAUGAGCGUCAGCUUGUGUGGAGUCGAUGUUGGGAUACCGCCCUUAGGUUUCUGGAAUUCUAACCUGCGGCCGUGAAUCCGGUCGGGGGACAUUGUCAGGUGGGCAGUUUGACUGGGGCGGUCGCCUCCGAAAAGGUAACGGAGGCGCUCAAAGGUUAGCUCAGCACGGACGGAAACCGUGCCUCUGAGUGUAAACGCAAAAGCUAGCCUAACUGCGAGGGUGACGGCCCGAGCAGUAACGAAAGUUGGAGUUAGUGAUCCGGCGGUAUGUGAAUGGAAAUGCCGUCGCUCAACGGAUAAAAGCUACCCUGGGGAUAACAGGCUGAUCUCCCCCAAGAGUCCACAUCGACGGGGAGGUUUGGCACCUCGAUGUCGGCUCAUCACAUCCUGGGGCUGUAUUCGGUCCCAAGGGUUCGGCUGUUCGCCGAUUAAAGUGGUACGCGAGCUGGGUUCAGAACGUCGCGAGACAGUUCGGUCCCUAUCUGUCGUGGGCGCAGGAUAUUUGAGGAGCUCUGUCCUUAGUACGAGAGGACCGGGAUGGACGUACCUCUGGUGCACCAGUUGUCAUGCCAAUGGCACGGCUGGGCAGCUAUGUACGGAACGGAUAAACGCUGAAAGCAUCUAAGCGUGAAGCCGACUCCAAGAUUAGAUAUCCCAUCGUAUAACGAGUAAGACCCCUUGAAGACUACGAGGUUGAUAGGCUGCGUGUGUAAGUGCCGUGAGGCAUUCAGCUUGGCAGUACUAAUAGGUCGAGGGCUUGACCAC